rnacentral:rRNA from 1 species
AUGUGUGUACCGAAGAAGAAAGGGGGAUUAGGAUUUAGAGACCUUCACAGUUUUAACCUUGCUUUACUAGCAAAACAGUGUUGGCGACUAAUCCAGAACCCGGACUCUCUCUGUGCACGUGUACUAAGCGCAAAGUAUUAUCCAGAGGGGAAUAUUUUGAAGGCAGGCCCAAAGAUAGGCUCGUCGUUCACUUGGCAGAGUAUUGUUGCAGGGAUUCAAACCUUC